rnacentral:rRNA from 1 species
AGCAGCCGCGGUAAUUCCAGCUCCAAUAGCGUAUAUUAAAGUUGUUGCAGUUAAAAAGCUCGUAGUUGAAUUUCGGGGUCAGUAGGUCGGUCGUGCCACUGGUAUGAACUGGUUUUUACUGAUCCCUCCCUCUUGAAGAACUGUAAUGCCAUUAAUUUGGUGUUGCAGGGAAUCAGGACUGUUACUUUGAAAAAUUAGAGUGUUUAAAGCAGGCUUUAGCUUGAAUACAUUAGCAUGGAAUAAUGAAAUAGGACGUUUGAUCCUAUUUUGUUGGUUUCUAGGAUUGACGUAAUGAUUAAUAGGGAUAGUUGGGGGCAUUAGUAUUCAAUUGUCAGAGGUGAAAUUCUUGGAUUUAUUGAAGACUAACUACUGCGAAAGCAUUUGCCAAGGAUGUUUUCAUUAAUCAAGAACGAAAGUUAGGGGAUCGAAGACGAUCAGAUACCGUCGUAGUCUUAACCAUAAACUAUGCCGACUAGGGAUCGGAUGAUGUAAUUUUUUAAUGACUCAUUCGGCGCCUUAC